rnacentral:rRNA from 1 species
GACUGGGAUAACUCCGGGAAACCGGGGCUAAUACCGGAUAACACUGGACUCCACAUGGAGUCGAGUUGAAAGAUGGCUUCUUGCUAUCACUUACAGAUGGGCCCGCGGCGCAUUAGCUAGUUGGUGAGGUAACGGCUCACCAAGGCGACGAUGCGUAGCCGACCUGAGAGGGUGAUCGGCCACACUGGGACUGAGACACGGCCCAGACUCCUACGGGAGGCAGCAGUAGGGAAUCUUCCGCAAUGGACGAAAGUCUGACGGAGCAACGCCGCGUGAACGAUGAAGGUCUUCGGAUCGUAAAGUUCUGUUGUCAGGGAAGAACAAGUACCGUGCGAAUAGAGCGGUACCUUGACGGUACCUGACGAGGAAGCCCCGGCUAACUACGUGCCAGCAGCCGCGGUAAUACGUAGGGGGCAAGCGUUGUCCGGAAUUAUUGGGCGUAAAGCGCGCGCAGGCGGUUCCUUAA